GAAAAGCAUGCAGAGCUUUCCUCACUGUCAUCUAUGUUGGUCUUCUGCCCUUCAGCCACAUGAACAACACCAGGAGCCUGACUGCUGCCACUGUCCUGAACUGGUGAUGGUGUUUGUGUAUAGCAAUGUCUAGCAUAAACUUAUUGGAGAAGUCAAUAGCCGCUUGAGUAUGCUGGGAGCCUGAAGUUUCUAUGUAACUGGAGUAGAUUUCUGUGCAACCCAUAUGCACAGACUAUGGCAAGAGAGUGAAUGGGAGGAAACCUGACCAGACCAUGGGAUAAAUCCUGCUGCGUUUGAGACAUGUAUAUCUGCUAAAAUGUAAGUGACACAUGUAGUCUUAAAAAUAAACCUAA